ensembl:lncRNA
GAGUGAGGUGGAGCUGCGGGCGGGACGCUGGCCGUCUCUCCCCCCUUCCAGGCCGGCUCAGCUCGCUGCGGAGAAAGGCACUGCAGUGCUGCAGGACACCAGCCUUGACACACUUCUCCCUUUCCUUGCUGUCCUUCACAUUGUGAAUAAGUGAACCUUCAGCCCUGCAAGCCUUGUACGCAAUUCAAAGUGCAAGAGCCAAUGCACUUGCCAUCAGAAGGACAGAGCAGGACACCUUGCGUUCUGAGGAUGUGAAGAUGUUUGGAGGUGUGAAGAUGGUCAGGAUGAGUCUGAGGACUGUCCUCUGGAAGCAUGUAGAAGAUCUGCAUUCCGGGCUGUCCCUCUCCUUUGGCAGCAUUGCUCCUGAAGGUAUCGUGGGUUUCCAUACACUGUACAGUUGACUCUACAAAUGACUGGAAUUGCACACUUAUUUCCCAUCAUUUGCUCACAUCUCACCGCUGGCUGUGUUCAUGCUUUGAAGGAUCAUGGCAGCGCUGCCUUACUGCUCCAGCCUGGUUCAGAGGAAACACAGAAAAUGAAGCGUGCAAUUAAGACCAUGUGGCUACAUAUACCUGACUUGUUCUUCUGACAAAAUGAUGGACUUGUAUGUCUUCAAAUUAUAACAGGUUCUUCCUUGCUUCUGAAAUUCUGGAAUUCCUUAGUUAAAAAGUAACAGCACUUCAGCAAUAAGCAUUUUAAAUCUGACUCUGUGUAUUUAAACAUCAAAUCAUAGAUGUUCUCUGUCAUUCAUGAGGGACUGUUGGCACCAGUGUCAUUUCUGGUAGCAGUGUAGUGGCUGUUGCUUGUAAACCGAACCCAUGUUCCACUCUGAAUCUCACAGUUUGUUGCAAAAAGCUGAGCAAUGUGAAUCAUGAAAUCCCUUAAGAUUGCCCCUCUGCCCAUUUAUAUCUCUCACCUUGCCCUUUAACUGCCCAGGGGACAAAGUUCUGUGCUCCUCUUCUCAUAUAGUUUGAGAACAACAACAAAAAGGUAAUGUGCUCCUAGCUCAUGUGUGAGCACAACAAAUGCACAGUAAAGAGCACAGAGCUCUACAUGGAACCUUGUUUAGAUAACACCGUGUAUUGUUUAGCUACUUUGAUUUGCACAAUAUAUGUAAUACCUCACUGCUUUGCAUCUGGAUUUUUUCCCCUCUAAAAAAGAAGGAAAUUAACAUGUAGAAUUGGAGGUAAUGAAGAAAAGUACUGAUAAUUGUCUACGAUUUACUCAUUCUCUGAAGGGUGUUGAAGCAACUAUCAUUUGCUGCAGAACUGACUUUCAGGCAAUUGUCUCUUGGUACAAGAGACAGAUGCUCAAGGAGCCAUCGCAUUCAGCAGAAUACAGUCAUUCUCAAAAUAUUUCCCCUAGAGUUCAUUUUGGCCCUUGAAAUAUUUAUUUCCUUUAUAGCUACUGUACUCCAGAUCACUGAGAACUUUUACUUCAAGAUUUUGUGCAAUGGCCACGUAACUGUUGGGACAUGGCAAAAGAAACAUUUCCAUUUAUAUACACUCACACUUAAUGCACUCAAAGCUGCUGCUCUAUGCUCUGUGCUUGUUUUUCUUUGUUACACUCGCAGUGCUGACUUGUUGGUUAUUUCUUGGUGUAAUGCUGACCCUGAAAAGAAUUUUUUUUUUUUCAAGACCGUAUCAAUUUUGAUAAUAUUUCACUUGUACUGGAUAAUGAAGGAAAAUUCCACCCCAGAAGAGUGAGAUGAUAUCUAAAAUGCAAAAGCCAGGAGUCUGUCCCAGGCCAAUGCUCUAGAUGCAUGAUUUGUCUGCACCUCAGCUCCAAGCAAGGCAACAUUUGGGCAUGAGCACCAGACUUCAGCAUGGUUUCUGAGACUGGAAGAAAACUUCAGAUAUCCUCACUCAACAAAUGUUGAAAAAUGAAAAUCAAGAAUCCUACAGUGCAAGGACAGGUGUAAUUAUUGGCCACUCUGUAUACUCCUAAAACCCAAAUUUGCUCAAUCACUAUUAUUACAGUCAUGGACUCAUUCUAGCUCACAACGGAACUGAUUUUGCUUGGUACAGCUCUAUACAUGGAGCAUGCAUGAAGCAUUUUCUUUCUUUCUUUUUCUGCUUUAGGGAUUUCCUUAAUGAUAACUGAAGUGCAGAAAGAGAUGUUUCUUAACACAUUUUCAGGCAGCUCCAUUCUUGACAUAUUUUGUCAUUCCAAAACAAAAGAUCUGAAGAAGUUCAAGAAGUUAAAGAUCAGAAACUAAACACAGGUUAAGCUGAAAUAACAAGUAAUGUAAAAAUCAAUGUUAUUGAAUCACUUAAGAUUUUGGAAGUUUUUUGGGUUUUGUUUGCAUAUAUUUUAUUUUAUUCCUCAGAGGAAAAGCAACAAGUAAUUACAUUUGAAACUGGCAUAGGAAAUCUCAAUUUCUGAACUGUAGAUGUAUUUAAGUUAAGGAAAUAAAGAUGAGCCAGAAUGUGGUGGAAGCUCUGAAUACGUCUGCCCACAACACGUCUACCAUUUCCAUAUUUGGAAGCAGACUUUAAAACUACAUUUUUGAAGGUGAUGUUUCAUGUUCAGAAAUACAUGUUGGUAUCUAAGGACUAUCCAGACUGAUAUUUAGUUUUCUGCUUAAAUAUGCUAGACCAUCUAUAUUCUUCUCUUUCAUUUUCUUUCUCACCCACCCUCUAGAGAAAAAAAAUACAAAGAGAAAAAUGCCUGUAAAAAAAGAGGAGCUACUCCUCAUACAUGAAAUAAUUACAUCCAAGGAACAUCACUGGCUGCUGAAAUUGAAAUUUCAAUUCAAGCCAAAACCAAACUGUCAUUAUCUAAGCAGCAUCAAUGCAGGCAAACGGAGGUUGGAGACAUGAGAUAAUGAAUGCAUUGAAAAAGAAAAUCAUUUUGCUCUUCUAUUGAUUAGAAGAAUCACUUCAGCACAAACUUUUUUUUUUCUAUUCACUUUUUGAAACAUUCUUUUGGCAAUAACACUGGUGAUUUUAAACAGAAAAUUUAGUGAAAAUACUGGAAUACAAAUUAAUGAGAAAAAUGCUGUCACCCAUUCAUCACAGAAGUAUGGGGUUCAGUUGGCUUUUACUUACUAAACAACAGUCAACCAGUAAAUAAUCAAAUGAAUAUUGUAGGACUGUAUCAGUUAUAUGAAAGUUAUCCUACUUGCAAAAUGGUUGCUAACUGCUAUUAGCUGUUAAUAAGCAGAAAAAGAGCCUGCCGUUAAUCAGUAAGUACUUG